AUGAAGCUUCCUCGGGCUGUUGCGUGUCUUCUCCUCCUCGUCGUCGUCUUUGCUGCUGCUCGUGUGGAGGCCCGAGUCACACCUUCCUCACGGCGGCCCAAGAACCAAUGGUCAAGCAUGUUUGUCUUCGGGGACGACUUUGUCGACAACGGCAAUGUUCCGAACAACAUUGGUGAAAAGACAUCACGUCAAUGGAGCUACCCAUACGGCUCCUAUCUCAACACUCAUUAUGCUACGUCUCCUGUUUUGGCCGGGCGCUUCUCCAACUACAGGAUGCAAUCAGAUUUUAUCGCAAGGAUGUUGGGCCUCAAUGAAGCCCCUCCAGCGUACGAGCUCACAUCAGAUCAAUCUUGUGACUCAUCUGGCAUGACCUUUGCUUUUGGGGGCGCUGGUGUCUUCAAGGUGAAGACCAAGAAGGUGCCGACCCUUGCCGCACAGGUUCAAACUUUCAAGAGGCUUGUCAACGACGGGGUCAUCUCAACACAUCAGCUUCACCACUCCGUCGCGCUCAUCGCCAUCUCCGGCAAUGACUACAUGAGCGACUCCGACAUUGAGACCGGCUUCUACACAAGCUUCGAUGAUCUCGAUACUUACAUCGGAAACGUGGCGACUGAGAUCCUAGAUAAUGUGGCGCAACUGCAGAUGCUUGGUGUGAGAAAGGUGCUAGUAAACAAUUUGCAUCCCAUUGGUUGCACACCUUUGCACACUAGUUCGAACAACUACACCACAUGCGACCUUCUCGGCAAUUAUGGCGCGUCCGUGCACAACAAGUAUCUAAAGCAAAUGAUCGAUGUAAGGGACAACGUUCACAUUCUGGACCUCUACACCGCUUUCACUGACAUCGUCAAUCACGCCCCUGAUGGAGGAUCGGAUCAGUCCAAGGAUUUCGAUGGCAAGCUGACCCCAUGCUGCGAGAGUACCGGUGAGGGAGGGUUCUGUGGAGAGCGUAGCCAUUCAGGGAAGCGCCUCUACGACCUAUGCGAAAAUCCCGACAAGACGUUCUACUGGGACCAGACACACCCUACACAUGCUGGGUGGGAGGCUGUAAUGAAGGCGCUGCAACAGCCUUUGACGGAGUUUCUUGAUGAGGACUACAUUGCAUAA
rnacentral:rRNA from 1 species